UACGUAGGGUGCAAGCGUUGUCCGGAAUUACUGGGCGUAAAGGGCUCGUAGGUGGCCAACUAAGUCAGACGUGAAAUCCCUCAGCUUAACUGGGGAACUGCGUCUGAUACUGGAUGGCUUGAGAUUGGGAGAGGGACGCGGAAUUCCAGGUGUAGCGGUGAAAUGCGUAGAUAUCUGGAGGAACACCGGUGGCGAAGGCGGCGUCCUGGACCAACACUGACACUGAGGAGCGAAAGCCAGGGGAGCAAACGGG
rnacentral:rRNA from 1 species